GUCAGGGGCAGGUAAGUCUUUGUUGCGGUCGGCUUGCCGUGUGUACUACAACUCUGAACCGGAAAAGGGAUAUUCAACUGGGGCAAACAUAGGAAGUGAGGCAUAACAAAGUCUAUGCCUAGUGUCAGAAAGGACUAUGGUCUGAUAAAUACUUGUGGGUUAACGAGCUCUUCGAAUUGUGGCACUCUUAUGUCUUGACUCUGAAGGCUCAUGUUCC